rnacentral:rRNA from 1 species
CCUACGGGUGGCAGCAGUGAGGAAUAUUGGUCAAUGGGCGCGAGCCUGAACCAGCCAAGUAGCGUGAAGGAUGACUGCCCUACGGGUUGUAAACUUCUUUUAUAAAGGAAUAAAGUGAGGCACGUGUGCCUUUUUGUAUGUACUUUGUGAAUAAGGCUUGGCUAAAACCGUGCCAGCCGCCGCGGUAAUUCGGAGGAUCCGAGCGUUAUCCGGAUUUUUUGGGUUUAAAGGGAGCGUAGAUGGGUUGUUAAGUCAGUUGUGAAAGUUUGCGGCUCAACCGUAAUAUUGCAAUUGAUACUGGCAGUCUUGAGUGCAGUUGAGGUAGGCGGAAUUCGUGGUGUAGCGGUGAAAUGCUUAGAUAUCACGAAGAACCCCGAUUGCGAAGGCAGCUUACUAAACUGCCACUGACAUUGAUGCUCGAAAGUGUGGGUAUCAAACAGGAUUAGAUACCCCAGUAGUC